AAGAAACUAGUUUCUUAAUUACUGACUAUCUUCGUAAACGCGACUAUUGUUUAUUAUUCACGAUCUUCUAAAAUGUCAGUAUUAUAAAAUUAAACUUGCUUCGUAAAUGACACUGAUGUGUCAGAUCGGAAAUAAACGUGAUUUGCAAGAAAUAAUUUAUUGUAAAGAUUUUAAAAAGGAAUUGACAAUUUAAAUAAUAAACUUUGAAUGUCGUUUCUUUGUUUUCAGAGCAACACAAUCUUUUAAAUUGUACAAUUCCCUAUAAACGUCUUAUAAAACGACAUUUAUAGUUAGAAAUAAGAUAAAUAUGGAGAAACUACGAUUUAAAUUUGAAGUUCAAGGGUCGGCAGAUGGAAAAACCAAUGUGAUCUGCAUAACCUCUAUCGAGACACCAGACGGCCGUGUUUACGAGAUUCCAGACGAGUUAAAACCAGCAAGUAAGCACAAUGUCAUAUUAACUACGGAAUUAUUUACGAAAAUUAAGAAUACGCUUAAAAAGAGACAUCAGACACGAUCCUUAUGGAUCCCUCUUAAUACGGAACUGAGAAAAACAUAUCUAGAUGAGGGUGAAAAUGUGCAAUUUGGGAACCAAUAUUUGGAUGAGACCACAGGAGAGGCAAAUGCUUCAUAUAAAAAUUCUAGUAUGUCAGAAAAUAAAAACCUAGGAAAAACCGCAGAACGGUUUGUAAUCGAAAAAUUUUCAAACAAAUCAUCCAGCGCUGACCAAUGGAUAAAUGAUUUCGAGAGUGAAUGUGAAAGAUUCCAAAUUCGACACGAUGAAGAGAAAAUUGGGAUUCUUAAACACCUCCUAGAAAAACAAUGUUUGGAUUGGUAUGCCAGUAUGCUAAUAAAGAUGAGUAUGAAUUCUGACUGGGCAAAAUGGAAGAAUGCCUUUUGUGAAACUUAUGGUAAUAAAGGUUGGUCUCAAAUUAAAUACGCAUUUAUUUUUAAAUAUCAGAGUGGAUCUUUAUUAGAAUAUGCUACAAAAAAGGAAAGGCUAUUAUUAGAGGCCAAUAAGAACAUUGACACGAAAACCCUGAUAACUCUUAUUGUCAUAGGAUUACCAGAUUAUGUAAUGGACAAAAUUGAUAAAGAAACUAUUAAAACAACGGAAAACCUUUAUAAUGAAAUAGGGAAACAUGAAUCAUUGAUUAAAAAGAAAUACAACAACAACUACAGGAAGAAUACAUACGAAAAGAAUAAUUAUGAAUAUAAAGGAAAGAUGGAGAAUGAAAAAAAACCAUGCAAGAUAUGUGAAAAAUUAAAUAAAGGUUCUCGAUUUCAUCCGGAAGAAAAAUGCUGGUUCAAACAAACAGAAGAAUAUAAUCAAAAGAGAAAUAGUGGUAGAACCAUAAACAAUACAGUAUUAGAUGUGGAACUAAGUAAUGAAGAAAAAAAAAACGAGUAGUAACACCAUUAAUUAAAAUUAAACUAUUAUUAAAUUCACAACUAGAAAUAUCCGGAAUAUAUGAUUCUGGUUCAAAUAUUUCUAUAAUUAACUCAAAAUUAGUAAGAUGGAGUGGAGAAGAAGAAGAUGAUUCAAAAAGAGAUAGUUUAAUCACGAUUAAUGGUGUUAAAAAGACAAUUGGCUUAACAACUAUUAAAAUAAAAAUAUUUGAUAUAGAAGAUAAUGCAGAUGUCUAUAUUAUAGACGGAGAAGAUUUCAAAUAUGAUUUCCUAAUUGGAUUAAAUCUCAUACAGCAAUUUCGAUUGAUUCAAGAUGAGAAUAUGAAAAUUACACAGAAGAAAGAGAAAAUAAAAGAAGAAAAAGAAUUUAGAAAUGAUAAAGAGAAAAAUAAAGAAUACCAAAACCCAGGUUCGGUGAAUUUCAAUGAACAUAUAAAAGAAGAAGAUUUCAAAAUAAGUAUGGGAAAUUUGAAUACACAACAAGAAGCAGAAAUACAUAAACUGAUAGAUAAAUAUAAAUCAAUCUUUGCAAAAGAUAAAUAUGAUAUUGGUACAGUAGAAAAAUAUGAAGCACGCAUUGAUUUACUAAUGGACAAAUACUGCAGCAAAAGGCCAUAUAGAUGUUCAGUAGAGGACAAAAAAGAAAUAGAAGAACAAGUUGCAAAACUUCUUGACAAAAAGCUAAUAGAAGAAUCUUAUAGUCCUUUUGCAGCACCAGUAACGUUAGCUUUCAAAAAAGAAGACAAUAGAAAAUCAAGAUUAUGUAUUGACUUUAGAGACCUGAAUAAGAUAGUCGUUCCACAAGCUCAACCAUUUCCAGUCAUUGAUGAUCUAGUAGUUAAGACAAGAAACUCAAGAUAUUUUACGACACUUGAUAUCAACUCAGCAUUUUGGUCAAUCCCGCUAAGAAUUGAAGAUAGAAAGAAAACUGCGUUUGUGACACAAGAAGGUCAUUUUCAAUGGACGUGUUUACCUUUCGGUCUGAAGACGUCACCAGCCAUAUUUCAAAGGAUACUUAGUAACAUAUUAAGGAGAUAUAAACUCACGGAUUUUGCAGUUAAUUACAUAGACGAUAUUUUAAUAUUUUCAAAAACAUUUUCAGAACAUAUUGAACAUAUUACACAAUUAUUAGAUGCUAUAAAAACAGAGGGAUUUAGACUUAAAUUUACAAAAUGUACAUUUGCUUCAAAUUCAGUGAAAUACCUCGGUCAUAUAAUACAUAACAAUACAGUGCGCCCAAUAAGAGAUAAUUUAAUAUCAAUUAGAGAUUUUCCAAUACCAAAAUCACAAAAAAAUAUCAGACAAUUUUUAGGAAAAGUAAACUUCUACCACGAAUAUAUUCCAAAUAGUACUAUACUUUUAGAACCUCUACAUAAAUUACUAAGAAAAAAUCAAAAAUUUAUUUGGUCUGCAGAGUGUCAACAAUCAUUUGAAAGUGUGAAAAAGUUAUUAUGCUCACAGCCUAUAUUAGAAAUAUUUGAUCAAAAUUUGCCAAUUGAAAUAUAUACAGACGCAUCUUUAAAUGGUAUUGGAGCAGUGCUAAAACAAACACAACCGAACGGAAAUAAAAAACCAGUUGCUUACUUUUCAAAAAAACUAAAUGAAACACAAAAGAAAAAGAAAGCAGUUUAUUUAGAAUGUUUAGCAAUAAAAGAAGCCAUUAGAUACUGGCAAUAUUGGCUAAUAGGUAAAUCGUUUACUGUAUAUUCAGACCAUAAACCAUUGGAAAAUUUAAAUAUUAAGUCGAGGACAGAUGAGGAAUUAGGAGAAUUAACAUUUUAUUUGUCACAGUAUGAUUUUAAAAUUAAAUACGCACCAGGGAAAGAAAAUAUAGAAGCAGAUUGCUUAAGCAGGAACCCAGUUUUAUAUGCUAAUGAGGAUACAGAUGAACAAUUAAAAAUUAUAAAUAUGAUAACGUUAAAUGAUAUAAUUACAGAUCAGGGAGAUAAUGAAUACAUACAAAAUAAUAAAACAAAAUUAGUGUUGAAAAAUAAUGUCUUUUACAAAAAAGGGAAAAAACAGGAAAAAAUAAUUUUAACAGAAAAAUACAGCAAAGAAUUAAUAAAAAAAGUUCAUGAGAAUAUGUGUCAUCUAGGUGUAAAACAAAUGCAAAACAUAAUUAGUACGUCAUAUACAGCAAAUAACUUAACAAAAAAUAUAACAGAAUGUUGUAAAACUUGUGAUAUAUGUAUUAAAAAUAAAUCAAGAGGACAAAAAAAUUAUGGUUUAAUGUCACAAUUAGGUCCGGCCACAAAACCUUUUGAAAUAGUCUCAAUAGACACGAUUGGAGGUUUUGGAGGGUCACGAUCAACAAAAAAAUAUUUACAUCUUCUUGUAGACCACUUUUCACGAUAUGCUUAUAUUGUUACGUCUAAAACUCAAAAUGCUAAUGAUUUCAUAAAAUUAAUUAAUAGUGUACCAGAUUCAGAUUCAAUUAUGUUUCUACUCUCUGACCAAUACCCGGGAAUCAAUUCUAAGGAAUUUAAAACUUUUUUAAAUGAAAAAUCAAUACAAAUGAUCUUCACUGCAGUAAAUACUCCCUUUUCUAAUGGUCUAAACGAAAGACUAAAUCAAACACUUGUAAAUAAGAUAAGAUGUAAAAUAAAUGAAAGAAAAAAUAAAUUAGCUUGGACUACUGCUGCACACAUUUGUGUGGAAAAUUAUAACAACACGGAACAUACAGUUACAGGUUUUGCACCAAAAUACAUUUUGGACGGUACAAAUAUUUCAUUACUGCCAGAAGAACUAAAAAAAGAUAUAUCUGAAGAUGAAUGGAUUAGGGAUAGGAAAAUAGCAUUGGAAAAUUCAAAAAUAAACCAUACAUAUAAUAAACAAUUAUUCGAUAAAAAUAGAAUACAAAUAGAUUUUCACAUAGGAGAUAUGGUAUAUGUUGAAAAUGGAAAUAAACUCAAUAGAAAAAAAUUAGAUGAACUAAAAAUUGGUCCCUUUAAAAUAAUCGAAAAAAUAUCAAAUUCAUUAUACAAAAUUGAUUCAGGACAUAAAAAGACAGAAUCAAACCUCUUUCACAUUUCAAAGAUUAUACCAAUACCAACAAAAACUAAGUAAAUAAGUAUAAAAUAGAUACAUAAUAUAUAUAUAAAUGUUUAAGUAACAUAGGUAUUAGCUUAUUAAUCUUUAUUGUAAAUGAAAAUUUUAGCAAAAAUUUUCUCUGUCGUGGGGCGGAGAUGUAAAGAAACUAGUUUCUUAAUUACUGACUAUCUUCGUAAACGCGACUAUUGUUUAUUAUUCACGAUCUUCUAAAAUGUCAGUAUUAUAAAAUUAAACUUGCUUCGUAAAUGACACUGAUGUGUCAGAUCGGAAAUAAACGUGAUUUGCAAGAAAUAAUUUAUUGUAAAGAUUUUAAAAAGGAAUUGACAAUUUAAAUAAUAAACUUUGAAUGUCGUUUCUUUGUUUUCAGGUGAGGUUAAUAGUUUUAAGUUGAACAGUGAAAUUACAUUGUAUAUUAGUGCUAAUUAACAAAAUAAAUAAAAUCUUUGUUUUCAGAGCAACACAA